CAUCCCAUCAACUGAGGUGGUCAGUGUAGGUGUGUCCCAGGAUUCAAAUCCUCAUGUAGCUAUGGAAAUACAAUAAUUGACAUUUGGGCAAGUAUACUCUCUCAGCCUCAGAAGAAGACAAUGGCAAACCCACUCUGAGCAAAUCUUGCCAAGAAAACCCAAUGACUGGUUUGCUUUAGGGUCAUGUUGGAAGCAACCUGAAAGCACAUGGGGAUUUAUUUAAUCAAUCAGCAAAGCAGCUGUAAAUUCUUCCACUAUGUUGAAUAAUUUGUUCAUUUUUCUUAUGAUUUCAUCACAUGGACAACCCGCCUCUUCACGCGACGCUAACCUACCUGUGUUAGGAGGGAAGUGUCCUGCAAUGCUUCCACUCCAGUUGGAGGAGGAGCUUCAAUAAGAAAUCUAGUGACAUUGUGUGAUGGGCAGCAUGCCCAUUAGCAUCAUAGGACUCUAAAAAAGGUAAGUGCGAUGAGGUCCCUAAUUGUUUGGAUCUAAAGACUUGAAUAUUUCCAGCCUUAGCUAUUAUCUUUGCAAGGUUAUGAUGAUUUCAAAUAACAGAUUCAGGUCCAUUAUUUAACACAGAGGCUUAUUGACAUUACUCACAAUUUAUCAGCUCUCUACAUCAGUGCUUUCAGUAUAAACAUUUUCUAUCUUAAUUCUUUUAGAAGGUUAUGUGUUACACAAAACGAGCCAAGAAAGUGAAGUGGUUUGAUUGUUGAACUAAGGCCCCUUCCACACAGCUGAAUAAAAUCCCACCUUAUCUGCUUUGAACUGGAAUAUAUGGCAGUGUAGACUCAUAUAACCCAGUUCAAAGCAGCUAUUGUGGGUUAUUCUGCCUUGAUAUUCUGGGUUAUAUGGCUGUGUGGAAGGGCCCUAGGACUCCGGGUGAUGAAAAUUCAAAUUGCUGCUUGACACAGAAACCUAUUGGGUGUCUUGGGGUCUACGGCAGUUAUUCCCAUCAAGAGGCUACAAUAGAUGUGCUGAAAAGUGGCGGAGUGGAGUAAUACCUAAAGUGCUUUUACGCACACUGCCAAAGUUUUCAGGAAGAUUAAUCAGACAGAAGUACCUGAAAAGCUGGAAAAGCUUCAAGACACUUCUGAAUAAACACAUUCAUUGGGAGCUGGUGUCUCCUUCUCUUGUGCCUUGUAAAUCCUUGAGGAAUGCAACAGGGGCCUUGGGAUAGCCCAAAAAGAGAUUUACAGAGGGUGUGAGCCAAAACAUGGAGGACAUGUAAAGCUGUUAUACAGCUGACAUUCUCUCUUUCUUCACUGAGAAAGCCAUUCAUCCGUACGUAUUUAAGAAAUGAUCUUUUGUGAACAUACAACUUCAUAUUAUUUGCCAUUGAAAUGGGUACUUAAUCUUUUUUUUAAGUGCUUCAUGUGUUGUUCGUGUUAUUCCACCUUUUCUCCAGUUUGGCAACUCAAAUAGUAAAAGAUAAAUAAAACUCACAACAUAUAAAAUGUAAAAUAUAAAUUAACUAAGUGGUGGAUCAAAGCAGUUAAAAAUAAACCAC
rnacentral:lncRNA from 1 species